UUGCAUCACAGAUGCAGGCAGGGUCACUGGGACCCUGCUGGGGGAGGGGCCAGCCACCCCCAAGGCUUCUGGCAACAGCCUUAGCAGUCCAGCCAGUCACAGAUGCAACACAACUCGCUCAGAUUCUAUUGGCUGACCCCUCACCCUGGCUGGAACUUUCAUUGGCCAAAGUCCUUGAAGUCACCUGUCUCCAAGGCUCCUUAAAGAGCAAGACCACAUGUAUAAAACACCAGAUACACAGGAAAGCCACCAAAUAGCAGCUCUACCCCAGUGUCCAUUAGCUUUCCUAACCAGAGUUGUGUCUCUUUGGAGAGCCCUUCCCAUAGAACCCUCAGGGUGGCCCCUGUCUCUAAUUGUUCUCACAGCAUUUCUUUCCUUAAUAGUAGUUGUUGCCACCUUAUUUGUCUUCUGCCUUCAGGAGCUAAGGAGUAGUUGCAAGUUUUAUUCCUUGUUCUGUUCCCAGUCCUCCCACACAACCUCGUUCUUAGUAAUCAGUCUGGAGUGAAUGAAUGGCUGCACUGUUCCAAAGGAACUAAAAUACCCACAAGAUGACCAUGAUGAUGGUGGUGGUGGGAGUUACAACUGUGGUUUGGGCUGUGCAUUAGGCAUUUGUUUCAGUGCUUGCCAUACAUAUCUGAUUUAGGUUGGGCAAGUGCCACAAGGAAGGUGCCAUUAUUAUGCUCACUUUACUGAUGAGGAAACCGAGACACUCGAGUGAUUUGCCCAAACUCAGCCAGUGGUGGCAGUGGAGCCUGAAGCCAGUGGUUUGCCUCUAGAGUCUGCGCUUGUCGGGUCAGUGGAGCUGCAUUCAGCAUUCAUGAGUACCCACUCUGCACUUGCUUUCUCAAGACUGCAUCUCACCGAUGGACCUUGGAGACAUCACCUUCCUCCACUCUACCAGUGGUCUGAGAAAUGGCCUCACUUCCUCUGCCCUACCAGUUGCCACCUACCCUCUGGCUCACCAUAGCUCAGAAACAUUCAAUGAAUUUCCAGAGUUGACCUAAUGGAUCAAGACUACAUUCUGGCUUGAAAACCAAGGCUCCUUAGGACACUUCCCAAACUACCUUUUUGGGCCACUUCCACACAGCUCUCCAGUGAGGGGCCCAGUUGCUAUUAGGACCUGGCCCAAGUCAAAAUCAUCAGAGUGAAACAGCGUAGCACAGGGUGAGCAUGCCUUUCGAGUUAGCUGCCUCCCCCUCCCUGAUCUGUCCAGCCUGUGUGACCUUCUCCCUUGGGGCUCUUAUAGAAAUGACAGGUUGGCCUCCCACAGAGCGCUGGAGGGUGGCUCUCUCUAUAUGGGCGAGGUGUCUCCUUGCCAACCUGGGCACAUACUGGCCCUCAGCAAUCACUCCUUGGCUUGACUUUGUACCACCUGCAGAGAUCUAUCUUGUUUGAGAUCAGUAUCUCUGUUAGGGCUAGAUAGGCCCUGGGAGGGCAUUUACCUCCCACCCCACC